rnacentral:rRNA from 1 species
GAUGAACGCUAGCGGGAGGCCUAACACAUGCAAGCCGAGCGGUAGAGUUUCUUCGGAAACUUGAGAGCGGCGCACGGGUGCGUAACACGUGUGCAACCUACCUUUAUCUGGGGGAUAGCCUUUCGAAAGGAAGAUUAAUACCCCAUAAUAUAAUGAUUGGCAUCAAUUAUUAUUGAAAACUCCGGUGGAUAGAGAUGGGCACGCGCAAGAUUAGAUAGUUGGUGAGGUAACGGCUCACCAAGUCAAUGAUCUUUAGGGGUCCUGAGAGGGAGAUCCCCCACACUGGUACUGAGACACAGACCAGACUCCUACGGGAGGCAGCAGUGAGGAAUAUUGGACAAUGGGUGAGAGCCUGAUCCAGCCAUCCCGCGUGAAGGAUGACGGUCCUAUGGAUUGUAAACUUCUUUUGUACAGGGAUAAACCUACCCUCGGGAGGGUAGCUGAAGGUACUGUACGAAUAAGCACCGGCUAACUCCGUG